rnacentral:rRNA from 1 species
AUUGAACGCUGGCGGCAGGCCUAACACAUGCAAGUCGAGCGGUAGCACAGAGAGCUUGCUCUCGGGUGACGAGCGGCGGACGGGUGAGUAAUGUCUGGGGAACUGCCUGAUGGAGGGGGAUAACUACUGGAAACGGUAGCUAAUACCGCAUAACGUCGCAAGACCAAAGUGGGGGACCUUCGGGCCUCAUGCCAUCAGAUGUGCCCAGAUGGGAUUAGCUAGUAGGUGGGGUAACGGCUCACCUAAGCGACGAUCCCUAGCUGGUCUGAGAGGAUGACCAGCCACACUGGAACUGAGACACGGUCCAGACUCCUACGGGAGGCAGCAGUGGGGAAUAUUGCACAAUGGGCGCAAGCCUGAUGCAGCCAUGCCGCGUGUGUGAAGAAGGCCUUCGGGUUGUAAAGCACUUUCAGCGGGGAGGAAGGCGGUGAGGUUAAUAACCUCAUCGAUUGACGUUACCCGCAGAAGAAGCACCGGCUAACUCCGUGCCAGCAGCCGCGGUAAAAC